UGGCAUUGACGUGCACUCUGUCACCAUAGGACUUAACAGUGGCAGAUGGCAGUCGCAUUAGCAAACAUUCAGUUCUUGCUCCUCUGUUCUUUCCUUAGGACAGUUGAAGGCCUGGUCAUGGCUCGCAGCUGAGUCACACUGCAGCCACCUCUCCAGUAAAGCCUGAGGAAUGGCAAACCCCCGGAAGACCUCAGUCAUCAGGGAUUUCUGGUUCACUCCUAGCAACAGGUACAGCUGGGGCUUCUUCAAAGGUACAGUUCAACAGAAAUAACUAUCAGCAGGUUCCACCACACCCAGCCCAGAGGAAGGGGCUUCCGGGCCACCAUUCCACUACUGCCUUCACAGAGGAGGUGAGCCCUGAGGGUGCCAACAGCACUUCACCUCAUCAAAAUGAGAAAACAUGUAAACAAGUCUCAAAACCAGACUUCCAGAUCACCUACAGCAACACCAAAGGGAAAGGAGAUGGAACACUGAUACUCAACCACCUAGACUCCCUGAACUGGCAACAAAAGAGAAUCUGUAAAAAUGAAAUCAGAAAUAAUUUCUCAGAUAACAGGAGAGAUUGUGCCCAUAGUGCAAGACAUGAUUAAUAAAUCUAGAGAGGACACAGAUAAAAAAAAUAGAGGAGCUGAGGAACAUGAUGGAAUC
rnacentral:lncRNA from 1 species